GAGGGUAUAGCUCAGUGGUAGAGUGUGUGCUUAGCAUGCACGAGGUCCUGGGUUCGAUCCCCAGUACCUCCA
rnacentral:tRNA from 1 species